rnacentral:miRNA from 1 species
UAAAAAAUGUGGAUUCCUUGGCUCCGCCUCCAGACAUUCUGAAUCAGUAAGUUUUGAGUGGAGCCCAGGAAUCUGAAUUUUU